rnacentral:rRNA from 2 species
ACGGGAGGCAGCAGUGGGGAAUAUUGCACAAUGGGGGAAACCCUGAUGCAGCAACGCCGCGUGAAGGAUGAAGUAUUUCGGUAUGUAAACUUCUAUCAGCAGGGAAGAAGAAGACGGUACCUGACUAAGAAGCCCCGGCUAACUACGUGCCAGCAGCCGCGGUAAUACGUAGGGGGCAAGCGUUAUCCGGAUUUACUGGGUGUAAAGGGAGCGCAGGCGGCGCAGUAAGUCAGAAGUGAAAGCCCGGGGCUUAACUCCGGGACUGCUUUUGAAACUGCCGUGCUUGAUUUCAGGAGAGGCAAGCGGAAUUCCUAGUGUAGCGGUGAAAUGCGUAGAUAUUAGGAGGAACACCAGUGGCGAAGGCGGCUUGCUGGACUGAUAAUGACGCUGAGGCUCGAAAGCGUGGGGAGCAAACAGGAUUAGAUACCCUGGUA